AUAUUCUAUGAAACAAAUCAACUCUAAACACACACCUACCUAACUAAAACAAAAUCAUAUUGUUUAUCAGCUGAUACGAACGCGAUAACAGAAUCGCUCGAAACUGAGAAUUGAGAUAACAAAAACAAAAUGGCGGCGAUUAGAAUCCAUUUUUAAAAAUAAAACCGCAGGUAAUAUAAUCAGUCGUUUGAUAACAACAGGAUGGGUCUCUGCUUUUCUUUCGACUGCGGUGACGACUGCUGUAGCGUCAACCCGUGUUGCCUGGCACUGAGCGCUUGCUGCCUGAUCCCCUGUCUCUGCCCCAACGCGUGUGGGCAACAGGAGCAGCCAGCCCAGGUGGUCCACAUCCACCAUCCGCCCCAGACCUUCGAGCAGCCGCCCCAGCAUAUCCACCACCCGCCGACCUUCGCCGAGCAGCCAGGGUACCCAGGCUACCCCCCGCCAGAGCAGCAGGGCUACCCCGGAUACCCUCCUCCCCCCGGCUCCUACCCCGUGCCGCCGCCGCAAGGGUACUACCCUCAAGUUCAAAACAGAUAGACUGACAAAAUAUAAGGUGAGUUGGCUACCAGUGAUUCAUACGUUUGUCUUGACGCUUAAAGUGUUAUCUUGAGAUUUCCUUUGGUUUGGUUACCUGUAGAGUCAACAGUUAUGAUUUCAUUGCGUAUACAAUGUUGAAUUCAUGUCUUUGGUUUGGUUUGGUUGGUAUUCUCGUUUUCCAAAUGAUACUCUCAGGUUAGGUAGUCACUAAAAGUAACUUAAUUAUUAGGACACAGAUUUGACAGUUCUAAAGCGAUAGUGAGAUUCGUUUAUAAGUCGGUUCUGCCGUGUCACUGUUACAAAUCAAUGCAGUUUUAAAAACGUUUCAAUAUUCUGAAUACUCACAUAUGAUUGUAUGAAUUUUACUUUUCAGCAAUUUUUCAGCUAAUAUAAGCUGACAACCGACAACACUCAAGUGCAAAUUAUAAAACAAAAGACUUCUUUGAGAUUCAUUUGUCAUUUCGUCAACUUGAAGUGAGUGUUGGCCAGUUUUUCGGUUAGUUAUUUGCGGUUAAUAGUAACUUGUGGAAAUUCAUAAUUUUAUUUCACUAUUCAUCAGGUGUUUGCAUAGAGUACCUACCUAAAAAUAGCCCUAGUAGGUACUUCAUAAUUACCUUAAGCUUGCUUGAUUAAUUAAAUAUAAUAAAUUGUACUUAAUGUUUUUAUACGUAGGAAAUGCUAUGGGCUUGGCUUGAUCGAUGUCCACGGAGACAAUUUUUCAGCUCAAAAAGAUUUUUGAUAUAAGUAAUAUUAUUAGAAUACUUUUUUAACUUAAGUAAGUACUUACAUAAAACUUAUUACUAGGUACUUAAUUGUUGGAAACAAUAGGUAAUAACGCUAAAAUUAUGUCAUGAACUUCAGUAAAGAAAACUCAUACUUAAUUAGAAUAAUUAGGUACAUUCCGUGACAUUAAAAUGCAAAUAGGUCUGUUCGUAGCUACAAGUAGAACUGUAUGGUCAGUAACUAAUAUUUUUACUCAAUAAUAAGAAAAACAUCUAGUUUUUUUCUUUCUUUACUGCUAGAGUCACGGUUGACUGGAAAAGUCAUGGUGAGUCAUUCUUUAGAGGUGAAUUUUCGUCAGGAAGUCUUCACGGUAAAGUUAUUUCCUUAUUAGAUUUAUUGUUAGUUUGUCGUUGGACGUAGCUAACGUGACUCAGGCUAAAGAUAAUAAUAUUUACCUCAAUGUAAAUACUUAAAACCAUUUAAAGAACCUAAUCCUUGAUUGAUAUACUUACUUCCUUAACUAAAACUCAAGUUAUUUAUUGAUAAAAACUCAUUAUCAUGUGAAGAUAUCUGUAUCAUGUGAAAUAACAAUUACAAUAAGUACUUAAUCAUUUCGGGUAAUUCCAUGCAGCAAGAGCGCUAGACUGUAAUCCACAAUGGGGUGCAACUUCUCCUGCCGGCCCUGCUGCUGCUGCUGCAUCCCGUGCUGCUGCUGCGACUGCUGCGACAAGGACCCCCCCGCAGCAACUGUGGUGCACGUGCACAACCCCUCCCCCGCGCCGCCCGUCUACCAACCACCCGUGCAACACCAGCCCUCGUAUAGGUAGCCAUCUCGGAAUUCCAAAUUUAAAAUUGCUCGCUGACAGUUUUGUUUCUUUUUUCCGUCGGUUUGUCUUGUCUUUGGCGAUUUCUGUUUGAAAUUUGUUCGAUUCAAUUUGAAAUAAGAGCAUUUGUUUUUUACUGUAAGUAAUUAAUGGAAAUCAAUAUGAAUAGAAUAUUGGAAUAGAAAUAAAGUUGUGUGGUUAGAUCAGAAUAGGGCAUUCAGAUGUUAUCUAUGGUAUUACUAUUUAUCGUACAGUUAUCACGAUAAGACAAAUCCUUCACAAAUAUUUUGUUCAAUAAAAUUUACGACUUUUCAGUAUCAGAGUUCCCAGAAUUCACAUAAAUUUAUGUAUUAUGUGUAACUAUGUAUGAUAUAAUCAGUGUAAUCUUCAUUUCUGAGAAUUGAUACUUAAUUUUGAUAAUAUGCUUGAUUAUGUUAGGCAAA